UACUGGAAAAGGUACAACUACAGAAACAAUAAAAUGAUCGUGGUUUCCAUGGGAUUGGGGAGAGGUAUGGAGGGAGGAGUGAAUAGAUGGAGCCCAGGGGAUUUUUAGGGUAAUGAAGUUAUUCUGUAUGAUACUAUAGUGGUGUCUACAUGACAUUACGCAUUUGUCAAAACCCAUAGAAUGCACAACAUCAAAACUAAACCCCAAUAAAAAAAAAAGGGAACCCU